UACUUCGGGGAAGAAAAACAAAGAGUUUUCAUGCUCCUCUAUACUCUGAGUUUACGCCGAUUACUUUUUCAGUUUUCAGACGCUAGGAGUUGCCGAUUUCAAGCACAGAAAUAUGAAGAAAUAGGGCAAGUUAACAGCAUCUGCAAAUAUGUAUGUAUAUCAGAUGGACAGUCGUAUGCUCG
rnacentral:lncRNA from 1 species